rnacentral:rRNA from 1 species
GGCGUCGGCACGGCGGAGUCCAUCGCCGCCGACGGCGAGAAACGACCGAGAAGCAGUCGCGACGCGACGGAAGCAAAGGACCGAGCUCGAGCGGAAUCUGAAUCCAAAUCUGCGCACGCACAUGAGGCCACGAGCGGGGCGCCGACGCCUCGCCCACGCCGUCGCCGCGAAGAAAAGCCCCGCCUUUUUCGUACAAUCAUCUGCUAGUGCUAGUGCGAGCCGACCGACACCGGGAGUCUUCUUCAGUGCUCCAUAAAACGAACGGCACCCACCCGUCCUCCUCGGCGAUUCCGCCGCCCAACGGCCCGAGAUAUAGUGAUCCUCCUCUCUCUCUGUUGCCGCUCCGUGAGGGCGAAACCCAUCCAAAGAUGGUGGGUUUUGGGAGGACGGGCAUCUGAGAGGUGGCAGCCAUGACGGGGAGGAUGGGGUUGCUUGUGCUGUUCGUAGCGGCGGUAUUGGUCGCGCCGUCGAGAGGGGGAGGAGAGGUGGACGGUGUGCAUGUCUCGUCUGCUUGGACGCGGCCUGCCUCUUCUUCUUCCACCUCUGCUCCUCCCUCUUCGCUGGUUCUGGAUGGGGAUCUCGUGGACAAAAUACGGUCAAUUUGCUUACAAGACGUAGUUGGCGCGGAGGAGACGUUUGCUUAUGAUGAACCGCCGAGCCAUUCUUCAAAGGGUGAACUGAAGACGAUGCUGCUUAUGGAGCUUCUGGCCCUUCUUCCACCUGACAAGUCUUCUGUUACUCACGACUGUAUCCGCGCAAAUUAUUUCAGCUUGGGCAUGUCACAAGAAUUUAUCAACUAUCUUGAGGACCAGCAGUUCUUGCCUGGUUCAAACUUCUAUCCAAGAAGACGGCAUUUGGCUGAUCGAAUGGUUGGAGGUGCUCCAUCCUCCGGAGGUCAAGCUCCGUUUCCUCUUUCUCUGACGGAGCAACCAUUUACACCUCCCAACUCUCCGAACACCGAACCUCGCAGCCGACAUCUCGAAGAUAGACCUGCAAAGAAGCGUCGGGGAGUGCCUCCCCCAGUUUCACCUUCCGAUAAGCAGCACAACUACAUAAAGUUGGUCUUGACUGUUGUGCUCCCGACGGCGGCGUUCUCGUUCAUUGCUGCAUUUCUGAUUUUCUACUGCUGUGGGUGCAAUAAGAGCAAGGUCUCUGUCGGUGAGCCUAGAGAUGACCAUCCUCUUCUUCACAUGCAGUUGGCUAACACGCCUGGCUCGUCACCUGUUAUCCGUGCAUCCUCCAGUCAGCUUCACAAGGAUGAUCCAGGGGUCAGGACUUCUAAGGCCGGAGGCAGCAUGAGUCGGUGCUUUCCAUGCUGUUUUAAAACCUCAACUGAUGUGUCAACUCCCCCGCAAGCUACUGGGGGAACACAGAACAACACAAGUGAUGCUCCUAAACCAAUGCCUCCGCCGCCGCCGCCGCCGCCGCCUCCACCACCGCCUCCUCCUGUCAGGAAGGCUGGUCCUCCCCCACCUGCACCUCCCAAAGGCUCAUUAGCAAGAUUUCCUCAGAUGUCACCUGUUGAGUCAAGUCAUUCUGAAGGAUCAUCUGCAAGCGAGCAGGCCAGUGAAUCAUCUGAAGCUGAAGUGGGUGCUCCAAGACCCAAACUUCGACCAUUCUAUUGGAACAAAGUUCUUGCCAAUCCUAACCAGUCGAUGGCCUGGCAUGACAUCAAGUUUGGUUCUUUUCAUGUGAACGAGGAUAUGAUAGAGGCAUUGUUUGGUUAUGGCGCUGGCAACAGAAACAACACCAAGGACAAGGAACUUGCCAUGGCUGACCCUUCACCUCAGCAUGUUUCUCUUCUUGAUUUUAAGAAAUCGUGCAACCUGGCAGUUGUUUUCAAGGCAAUGAAUGUCAGGGUAGAGGACAUUCAAGAUGCUCUUCUUGAAGGAAAUGAACUUCCUAGACUACUUCUUGAGACAAUCUUGAGAAUGAAACCAAAUGAUGAGGAGGAGCUGAAACUCAGGCUUUACGAUGGGGACUACUCGCAACUAGGUCUUGCGGAACAAGUCAUGAAGGCACUAACUGACAUUCCUUUUGCUUACAAGAGGAUCAGUGCUCUGCUUUUCAUGUCAUCUUUGCAAGAAGAUGCUUCAAGUCUCAGGGAUUCAUUCCUGCAAUUGGAGGCUGCUUGUGGGGAACUAAAGCACCGCCUUUUUCUGAAGCUGCUAGAAGCUGUUCUCAAAACUGGAAACCGUUUGAAUGACGGGACCUUCCGUGGUGGUGCUAACGCGUUCAAACUUGACACCCUUCUGAAGUUGUCAGAUGUCAAGGGUGCCGAUGGAAAGACUACACUGCUUCACUUUGUUGUCCAGGAGAUUAUUCGAUCUGAAGGUGUCCGCAAAGCAAGGUUGGCCAUGGAAAGUGAAAGGACUCAACCUUCAGGAGAUGAUUCGAACGGAUCUGUUCAAGAAGAUGGCGAGUACUACUCCAAGCUCGGCCUAAAGAUUGUAUCAGGGCUUAGCAGUGAAUUGGUUAAUGCCAAGAACAUAGCUGCACUAGAUGCGGAUGCUUUGUCUGCCAGUGUGUUGCAGCUCAGACGCGAGUUGCUGAACACAAAGGAGUUUCUGAACUCUGACAUGGCAACGAUAGAUGAGAACAGCGGAUUCCACCGCUCUUUGGUACGUUUCGUGGAACAUGCAGAGAAUGAGACCAACUUUCUGUUGAAAGAAGAGAAGAGGUUGAGAUCAUUGGUGAAGAAAACAAUUCGGUAUUUCCAUGGAAACGAUGUGAAAGAUGACGGAUUUAGCCUGUUUGUCAUUGUAAGAGAUUUUUUGGUGAUGCUAGAUAAGGCCUGCAAGGAAGUUGGGGCAUCACAAAAGAAGGCGGCAAGUCAAUCUCGGAGCAGUGGCAGUUGUAACCCAGCUUCCCAGUUAAAUCCCCAGGAGAAACAGUUUCCUGCAGUACUGGAUGAUCAUUUAGAUAGCUCGGACUCAAAUGAUUAAUUUUGGGAUAUAAUAUUAGGUGUAAUCUAUAGGUUUUUUUUUGCCUGAGACGAUGUACAAAUACCCAUUUGCAGAGACAUUACUGUAUACAUACAACUGCCACAUACACAUGGCUUAAUACAUGUUUGCAGAGGCAUUGCUGUAUACAUAUGCAUGCCACAUACACAUGGUUAUAUCACACCUCUACAUUAGUAGCUGAUGAAAUUCAUGCACUCAUUUUCUAACUUGAGACCCGUUCUUGCAAAACGGGAUUCAGUUUUAA